GGCAAGAAGGGGAAGGAGGUGAAAAUUUUUUUACAUUUGGGCCACCAAAAAUGUACUUGGAAUUUGGGAAUAAAAUAUUUUGCUUUUUCAAAAGUACCUUUUUUACGGUCAGGCUGACAGCUUUUUCAAACUAGUGUCCGUGGAGAAGCUAACUUCUGAUAGGGUGGGCCGACUGCUUGCCUUUACGUGAUUCGUCAAGAUCUGAGGUAAACACGUAGUGCCCUCUGGGUAGUGUAGUUUAUGUAACGUUAGGGUCAUCUCUCUGACACUGACGCUUUCUCUGUCAGUGGUAGAGGACCGGCUACAUACGAGAAGCAGUGGUACGCAAGAAAAAGUGCAGGUACGCUUAAGAGUAAAAUAUAGAAGUACCGGCCCACUUUGAGCACUACUUCUCUCCACAUUGAAGGCUGACCAGCAGUAACUUUAUCUUCUGAACAGCAUGUGUGUUAUCCUGGCUAGGACUACACAUUACGCUCCCUCCCUUUGAAGGGAUUUAUUCCACUCAAAAUUAGUUAGUUUUCAGGGUUCAACUGUUAGCACUAUUUAACUAAUGCUGCAACAAAGAAGUAUUUGUUGUUCUUAAUUAAUCACCUGGUAAAUACAAUUUACAAAAAUUCCAUCACUGUUUACUAAGGUGAUGUCAAGCUGCUGAAAUAUUCAGUUUAUUGUCACUUAAGACGAAGAAAAGAAGCAAACCUUUAUAACUUACCAGCUUUAAUCAGAGCAUGGCUGCUGCUGCUUAAAAAAAAUGACUUGAACAGUUAGUGUCUGAACUGCGUCCGUGCUGCCGCCAUCUUGGGACAGACAACUGAUCUUAAAGACUCAUAGAUAAGUAUUUUUGUACUGCUUUUGGAUGUUCAUGUGAAAGAAAUGCUAAACUAAGCAACAUGGAAUAACAUUUCACGUAUGAAAAAUGUGUUUUACAAUAUUAUACUAUUACUAAAGUGUUGAAUUUAAUAUCACAAAAGAUAACAUUAAUCCUUCUUUUAAGAUAACGGUAAGUUAAGUGACUGGCCUGAUACUGAAUUGAGCUAAUGCUAGCUUGUAUCAAGUUAUGUAUGUUUUAUUUGAGUGAUUAUUAAUAUCUCAGUAAGAUGCUGAAAACUAUGUUUGUUAUGUGUGUCACUGAACAGUUCCUCAUGUCAUUACCCAUAGACCCCAUGUGGAAAAAUCCAGACUUUACUUCAGAAAAAUAUAAAUGUUUACAGCCUGGUACAAAAAACGGUUUUGGUCUAUGAAGCUAAUUUCACACUUCAUAACUGUUUAUAUAACUCACCUGUUUAAAUUGUAUCAAGGCUUAAAUCAGCAGACAAUCACUAGCUUCAAAAUAUUUUGAAAAAGUUUGAUAAGAAAUUUAAUCAAGUGUCCUGUAUUAUAAAUAGAUGUCUGGCAUUUGUAGUAAACCGCUUCAAAAUCAGUUGGAAAUUCUGAUUUUAAUUGUGGAUAGACCUUCUGCCUUCAUAUACACAUGCAUUAGGAGGAGCAAAAUGUUUGUUAGGAAAUGGCCGCCGUGUCAACAUAUGUGGUAUCUACGUUUUUAUAUAUAUAUAUAUAUAUAUAUUAGGGCUGUCAAUCGAUUAAAAAAAAUCUCUCUAUUAUGUAUUAUGUGUUUUAGGAGCAUGCCAGAAAUUGCAUAAAGUGAAGGCAGAUGAGGUGGAAGAUGCCAUUGGCCAGGCGCUGAAAUUAGCACCACACAGACAAUUAAAGUGGUAUGAGUCAUUAAUGAUUUCUCCACAACUUCUUUAUUGAAAUUAUUUAGAUUAAUCCCCAGUAACAAUCUUGCAUUUUUUUCUUUGUUCAAGAUGGAAGCGGAAAGGAGGAGGAGAACUACAAAACUGUAGUUUAAAAUAAAAUCUAAUUUAUGGAUUGCAGGUCCUGUCAUUUACUUGCUAUAGUGGAUAAGGUCUAUGAUAAUUAGUACAAAUUCCAGUGAUAUCUGUGUUCUACUAACAGUAGGCCUAGCACUACAUAUGUAUAUCUAUAUAGCAAUGACUGCAGAGACAGCUUUGAUCAGUGGGACAGAUAGGUGGACAGGUGGGAAAGUGAUUUGGAGAAAACGAAGAUGGAUGAGGCUUCAGGGAAAUGCUGAUAAGUAUUAUCAACUCAUGAUAGACCGAAUUCAUUGAGAAUGUAUUUUUAAAUAUAUCUGACAUUUUCUGUGUGGAAAAUUAAUACUAUCAUUUAUUUGUUUCAGUGUUCUAACCCUUUUCAUGGAUCCCUGCGAUGUGCACUUUCAGUCUCUAAUGGUGCUCUUGGAAAGGACAUGAAAAUUAGCCACUUUGGUCAGCUGUCACCCAUGGGCAAUGUCUCAUCCCACUUGUCACCACACAACAGAGGCCUCCUUUGGUAAAGAAAAGAAAAGGAUAAGAGGAAAGAGUUUGAAAACUGAUUUGACGACCACUGCUAAAUUGGCCUGCUAAGAGGAAGAGGCACUAAUGAUUCCAGAAGAGGAAGCCAAAGAAGAAGACCUACACAGACUUUCAAAUGGAUCUCUCAAUUGCCAUGAUGACCAAGAUAUUCAACGGGAAAAUGUGGAAAGCUGCCAUAUUCCCAGUCAUUACUUUGCCAAAUCAUCUGUGCAGCACCACCGAGGGACCCUACUUUCCUGAGUACGAAGCCGGCCAUCAAGGAGUUCCCCGACUGGCAACAGACUGGAGCAGAUGCUGUAGCAGGGACAGCAUUUUUUUUUUGCUACUGAAAUUAUUUACAUUAUGAUAGAAAGUGGACAAUAUAGUGUGACAAUUAGUUUUUGUUCUCCAACAUGUACACACUGCUGUUGUGAAGCAGUGAUAUACAGCUCACGAGUGUGUAGUCAAAAGAGUGAAAUACUGUAUAUUUCAGCGACAGAUUUGGGUUCAAAUAACAUUUCCAUGAUCCCAUAGGCAUCCAAAAAUUGAGAAAGUGAAGCUUUUUUAAAACUGAAACAAGGUGUUUGACAUCCUGUUGUGUGUGCAAGCCCUUUUUAUUACCACGGGUUUACAGACAGUCUCUAAUAAUUGGGUAUCACCUGGAACACAGCCAAUAAUCGAGAGACACACCCACCAAACGAGAUAAAACAUAACUCAAGCCGUUGCAUCCCGUUCCCAGGAAACGUGCGUGCCCCAGCUCUUUGCCUGAGGGGAAGCCCACAGUCUCAGACUUUUAAAAAAAACCCUGGUUUAAGAUUUUAACCCUUGU